GGGAGAUGUAUGAUCUCCUUUAUUAUGUACCUGCCAAGUAUUCUAUUAUUUACGCGGCAUUCCGAAUUCUCAGCUUCCUCCAUCAAACCAAAACUCAUUUCUUCAUUUCUUCAAUCAAUCAAUCAAUUUCCUUCCAAAUUUUCCUAUCAAAUUCUUCUCUUUCAAACACCAUCAUCACCAACACAAGAUUUGAAGAUGGAGUGAUAAUGCUCGUCAUUGUUAACCAUUGAGAUUGUGCUGAGGAGGGAAAUAAUAGCAAAAAAAAUAUGGAUUCUGCGAGGAGUUGGUUCCAGAAGUUUCAGCCGCGUGAUAAGCUGAGAGGUGGUUCUACAAGGAAGAAGGAUGAUUUCAACAAUGGCGGCGACGAACCGAGUGGGCCGGUGGAUGAAGCCGCUCUUUCCAAUAUCACCAAGCAGAAGGUGGCUGCAGCCAAGCAGUAUAUAGAGAAUCACUACAAGGAGCAAAUGAAGAGCCUUCAGGAGAGGAGGGAACGCCGAACCAUCUUGGAAAAGAAGUUGGCUGAUGCUGAUGUCUCUGAGGAAGAUCAAAAUAACUUGCUUAAAUUUUUAGAGAAAAAGGAAACCGAGUAUAUGCGUCUUCAGAGGCAUAAAAUGGGUGUUGAUGAUUUCGAGUUAUUGACUAUGAUCGGAAAAGGUGCAUUUGGGGAGGUCCGGGUCUGCAGGGAAAAGGCCACAGAUCAUGUAUUUGCAAUGAAGAAGUUAAAGAAAUCAGAGAUGCUUCGUAGAGGCCAGGUAGAACAUGUCAGAGCGGAGAGGAAUCUCCUUGCAGAGGUUGACAGCAAUUGCAUAGUCAAACUUUAUUGUUCUUUCCAGGAUGAUGAGUAUUUGUAUCUUAUUAUGGAGUACCUACCUGGUGGGGACAUGAUGACUCUACUUAUGAGAAAGGAUACCUUGACUGAAGAUGAAGCCCGAUUUUAUGUAGGAGAAACAGUUUUGGCUAUUGAAUCUAUACAUAAACACAAUUAUAUACAUAGGGAUAUUAAGCCUGAUAACUUACUACUUGAUAGAUAUGGACACUUGAGACUGUCAGAUUUUGGACUAUGUAAACCAUUAGACUGUAGUACACUUGAAGAAACUGAUUUUUCUCAGAAUGCCAAUGGAUCUACACAGAAUGAUGAUCGUACUGGUCCAAAACGCACCCAACAAGAACAGUUGCAACACUGGCAGAAGAACAGGAGGACACUUGCUUAUUCUACUGUUGGUACACCAGAUUAUAUUGCUCCAGAAGUUCUAUUGAAGAAAGGUUAUGGGAUGGAAUGUGAUUGGUGGUCACUUGGAGCUAUCAUGUAUGAAAUGCUGGUGGGAUAUCCGCCUUUUUAUUCUGAUGAUCCAAUGUCAACAUGUAGGAAGAUAGUAAAUUGGAAAUCACACUUAAAGUUUCCUGAAGAAGUAAAGUUAUCUCCGGAGGCCAAAGAUCUUAUAGUUAAGCUUUUGUGUAAUGUCAACCAGAGGUUGGGGUCAAAUGGUGCAUAUGAAAUAAAGGCUCAUCCAUUCUUUGAAGGUGUUGAAUGGGAUAAAUUGUAUCACAUGGAUGCUGCAUUUAUUCCUGAGGUCAAUGAUGAUUUAGAUACUCAAAACUUUGAAAAGUUUGAAGAGUCCGACAGCCAGACUCAAUCAUCAUCAAGAGCUGGUCCAUGGAGAAAGAUGCUUUCAUCUAAGGACUUGAACUUUGUGGGAUACACAUACAAGAACUUUGAAAUUGUUAACGACUACCAAGUUCCUGGAAUGGCUGAAUUGAAGAAAGCCUCCAAAUCUAAGAAGAAGCCAUCCAUCAAGUCACUGUUUGAUUGUGAGUCAGAGAUGUCUGAGGCGUCCGAGGCUUCAGAGGCAUCUGCAAGAAAUCAAACUACUCCAUGAAGUUUUACAAAGCCCUUGACACCCAAACUAGAGCUAUCUCAAAGCUAGAGGGAAUCCUUCCUCCUAAACUAGGCACUCUGAUGAUCUACCUGAUCAGACAGAAGAAAAUGCAGUGUUUCGAGCUGGCUUAGACGAGUCUUGCAAGUUUUGUUAGUCACCGCAACUAUAGAAUCGCAAAUCUUUGUUUCUCGUUGUGAAAUAUGCAGACACUAUGAACAGAUAAACAAACAGAAACCUUGUAUAUUUGUUUUGUUCCUUUACAUAAACGAUAGCAAAGUGGAUGGCACUGGAGAAGUGGAAGUUGGUUUUGUCUCUAAUGGAGGAUCAUGGAUUGUUACUUUUGUGGAACUUGAACAGUGUAAAUUAAAAUUUAAUGUUAAUAAUCUGUAAUUCGUUAGUGUUAAAUUGAAUACCUUUUACCCUCACUGAGAUUAUCAUAUUUAAAUUGGCAUGGUAUUAAAUUUUCAUAGCAACCAUUGGUCACUGUCACUGUUACUCAUAAGAAAGAUAACCUUGUACAUUGAGUGAGAGUUGAUCCCACAUUCAAAGGGAGCAAUGGCAUUAAAAAAGAA